UAUUCAGAAGUCUGAAAACACAGCAUAGAAGAACUGAUUGCUAUAGAGGCUGCCUAAAAGGAUUUCCAAGACAAAGCAACACAGCGUGAGCCCAAGCAGGGAAUACAUUCCAGAUGACUUUUAAAAAACAGCAUGGGAGAAGAAGGCACAACUARGGGAAAAUGAGAGGAGAAAAAGCACUCUGUUGCAAUGACUAAGGGGCUCUAUAUUGAGGGGAUAUUUGUUGCUUGAUUUGUCUUGUAAGUCCCUACUGCAUGAGGGAGGUUCUUCUCCACAGCCUCCCAGAAUCGCUGCUCAGAGCCUGAAGCCCUUUUCCUGGGAGACCUGGAGUGUGAGGGAAGAAAGGCUCUAGGUUCUACCCUGAAUGGAAGAGCCUCCUUCCUCCUCAUCUUUGGAUGGUUUUGACAGUGACUCCAUGCCAAGUAUAUGGACUAAAGCUGUGUGUCCCAUGUAGCACAUGGACUUCGGGGCUACUUCAAGGAAAGUGGGGAAAAAGAAGGAAAGUAUUGCUUGUAGAUGCAUCUGACAGUGAAGCAAUUUUUUUUUUUCCUGUCCUCAAAAGUAACUAAAAUGUAGCUGUGUUGUUCAGUCGAGUCAGUUGGGUAUCCCUUGUCUUCAUUCCCAUGUCUCAUUUCUAAUGAGAGCCUACAAAAACAAUGAAUAUUGGAAGGAGAAAACCGCAAAUCCUUUGGCUCUUUGUGCCCAGUGCUGCUGGCCCAAACUUGGUCUUCCUCAACCAGCAGCUGCUCUGAAGCAGAAAGGGAUGGAGCAGACCCUGUGGUCUGAUACAUAAUGGGAACAGUAUUUGGUCUAGUGCUUGAUCCUAACCUGCAAGGUUCCCAAAAGAUAGUUUAUUAAGAAGGAAAGAGCUCAGAAUGCUUUUGCCACAUGUGAGGAUGCAGGAUGAGAGCAGUCGACUCCUCUCUUUUAACAGGAGAUGUUUCUCCAUUUUUAACAUCUGUCAGAUUACCUCAGCAAUCUUCACUUAUGGUGGGGUGUAGGUUAGGUUUAACAAGCAUUGCAACAUUUAUUUAUUUAUUAGGCUUGAGAAGCACUUUGAGCAUUAUUUUUUUUUUCAAAUUAAGAUGCUUAAGAUGCUCUGAUCUUGCAAGAGAAGCAAAAGAAGCACUGUUGCCUGUAUUUCUCUUUUACACUGAAUCUUCCUCCUUGUAUUUGGUCCACAGUGUCUUGAAAUUGUAUAUGACCAUGUAUAAGUACCUUAACCAUGACAAACACCUGUAUGACUUGGGCAUGUAAUGGUCAGUCUUGCUUUUAAAAUGGACUUAAAUUUCCUUUUUUUCCACAUAUCAUCAAAACAUUAUAAUACCACAAAAAAUAUCACACUGUAACAUAAUUAAGUAGGAAGUAAUACAUCUUCUGCCACUUUUAGUGAAAUYAGAGAUGCAUACACAAAAUGUCUGAGAUAUAAAAUGCAGUGAGUUAUUUUCAUAUGUGUGUUUAAAAAAAACCUUUUUCUAUUACUAUGCAAGAUAAUAUAACUGGGAGUGGAAAAGAGCUAAAAUCACUUUUUGUAUCCCCCUGGAAAGUAUAUUAUCUACCAAAGUAUUUGUAUCUUCAUGUUUAUAAACACAAUCUGGAAAUAUUCUUUUUGUAGAAAGUGCACUGCAAUGCAGUAAGUUUCAAAGGCAAAUAUGUAUGUGAAAUGAGGUUCUUUCUUUGAAUUUGAAUAAUCUUAGGGGUGCUUUUUUGUGGUUGUUUGUUUGUUUUYCCUUUCGCAGAUACUAUUGUUUUACCUUCCCCUGGUAAAGGCUGARACAUUAGCAGUAAUGUCACAGACGGGUGUCAAGCAACUUUGAAAAAUAUUUUCCACUAUAGCAAUCUUUUUUUUUUGAGAACUGAAGUCAAAGCUGACUGAAGUUGCAAGAAAAAUCUCAUGCUGUCRGUGAAGGUGGAUUCAUGACAUUCAUGUGGAACAGUUCUGCUUACAUGAAACAGCAGUGGAUUUAUUUGACUGUAACUGGGUAGAUUAUU